rnacentral:rRNA from 1 species
ACAGAGGGUGCGAGCGUUAAUCGGAAUUACUGGGCGUAAAGCGCACGUAGGUGGCGACGUAAGUCGGGUGUGAAAGCCCCGGGCUCAACCUGGGAAUUGCAUUCGAGACUGCAUUGCUGGAGUACGGAAGAGGAGGGCGGAAUUCCCGGUGUAGCGGUGAAAUGCGUAGAUAUCGGGAGGAACAUCAGUGGCGAAGGCGGCCCUCUGGUCCAGUACUGACACUCAAGUGCGAAAGCGUGGGGAGCAAACAGGA